UCGUGGGUCAAAAUCUGGGCUCAAAGUCAGGUGACUUGGUUCAUGUUUUUGGUCCACUGAUGAGCAAGCUGUUCAUCUUUUGUGCCAGUGUUUCCUCUGCUGUUAAAGAGGUUUACUUGGAUGUGUGUUGAGAAGAUUAAGAAGUUCCGUCAAGAUGAUGCCUUGUGGAUACAGGCACCAUUCACAAUCCAAGUCAGCUGGUGCUGGUGGAGUCCCCAUUCUCACCUAUAGAAAAUUCUGGAUUAUUUUAAGUUUCUUGGUCCAUUAUGUGUCACUAUUGGCCCCAGAAAAAAUUACUUCCUCCUACCAGAGACCUACUUCAUUUGUCAUCUUUCUUGAUUGCAAAGACCCCUGGGAAUCCUUAAUGGUUCAGACUCAAGGAAAAUAAAGUAUUUCCAAGCCCAGCUUCAGAACAGAGACUGGAGCCAGUGAGAACCAUUGCAUUCCAAUUAAGAUGGUGGCCUAGAGAUAGCAGUGGAAAAAAGACAAGACAUGUCGGGCAUGGAUACUACAUUCUUUCAAGAUGGUUUCUCCAUGGGACUCUCAUUCUGCACAUCUCAUGAGCAGAGGCAUCAUCCUACACAUAGAUUCUGAUGGACCCCCAGGGAAAAUCUCCCACCUUUUCACUGCAGAGAGGAACACUACUAUUGAUGCUCAAGAAUCAUCAGAUUCGCUGAAUGAAGAAAAGGAUGAGAAAUGAGCAAAAUGAGAACAACCACUGGCCUACAGUCAGAUGAAAUGAGAAUCAAAUUUGGAUUCCCACACAUACUAAGUAAGUACUUGUUUGGGGCUAUUAUUUUAUUUCUCUCUGCAUCUAUUUCCUUGUCUUCAGGAAAGGGAGAGAAUAGUAAGAGCUACCUUAC